rnacentral:rRNA from 1 species
AGACGUCUACAUUAGAUACCCCCGUAGUCCCAGCCGUAAACUAUGCGCGUUAGGUGUAUCGGUGACCACGAGUCACCGAGGUGCCGAAGGGAAACCGUGAAACGUGCCGCCUGGGAAGUACGGUCGCAAGGCUGAAACUUAAGGAAUUGGCGGGAGCACCACAACGGGUGGAGCCUGCGGUUUAAUUGGACUCAACGCCGGGAAGCUCACCGGAUAAGACAGCGGAAUGAUUGCCGGGCUGAAGACUCUGCAUGACUAGCUG